rnacentral:rRNA from 1 species
GAUGAACGCUGGCGGCGUGCCUAAUACAUGCAAGUCGAACGCUGGAGAUCUAGCUUGCUAGAUCGAAGGAGUGGCGAACGGGUGAGUAAUACAUAAGCAACCUACCCACGAAGACUGGGAUAAUCUCUGGAAACGGGGACUAAUACCGGAUAGGUAAUCGGAAGGCAUCUUCUGGUUAUUAAAGGCUAAAAACACUGGUGGAUGGGCUUAUGGCGCAUUAGUUAGUUGGUGAGGUAACGGCCCACCAAGACGAUGAUGCGUAGCCGGCCUGAGAGGGUGAACGGCCACAUUGGGACUGAGACACGGCCCAGACUCCUACGGGAGGCAGCAGUAGGGAAUUUUCGGCAAUGGGGGCAACCCUGACCGAGCAACGCCGCGUGAGUGAAGACGGCCUUCGGGUUGUAAAGCUCUGUUGUAAGGGAAGAACGGUAGAUAGAGAAUAUCUAAGUGACGGUACCUUACCAGAAAGCCACGGCUAACUACGUG